UAGGGAAUCUUCCACAAUGGGCGCAGCCUGAUGGAGCAACGCCGCGUGAGUGAAGAAGGUUUUCGGAUCGUAAAGCUCUGUUGUAAGAGAAGAACGUGUGUGAGAGUGGAAAGUUCACACAGUGACGGUAACUUACCAGAAAGGGACGGCUAACUACAUGCCAG
rnacentral:rRNA from 1 species